UUUCAAUAUAGUUAUUAAAUAAAUACAAGUAUUUACAUCAGGAAGAAAUGAGUCAUUAUUCAAGUGAAUAAGUCAUUACGGAAAUCAAGUCCAUGUUCAUUUUAGAGUUGUGGUUUUAAGUUUUAAAUGUUUCAGAGGUCAGGGAUGCGAUAAUGAAUCAUCUGAGCUGAACUACUCUGAAUUGAUUAAAAUCUUUCAGCAGUUUCUAUUUGAUUUUUUUUUUCUAUCGUCAAAAGCAUUUUAAUUUUGAAGAAUAUCAGUGAAUAUACAAUAUUUUUCCAGAAUAACACAUUGUAAAUCUUUUUCCGAUUUAUUGUAUAUUGUUCGGUAGAUCUGACCAUGAGUUGUCUUCUCAUGGCAGGUGUUUAGUUUACGUAACGGCGUCCUUUCAGACGAAAGUGGCGUCUGUCAAGGACAGAGUUCUAGAUUUACUUCUCACAGUAUUUAUUUGCUUUAACGUUUACCUUUUCACUAACCACUUUUCUAGGGAUAAUGUUUCUCAAGGACAAAUCGAACGGAUAGUCAACCAUAUGGAUUAACCAAAUAAUUUAUGUAGUCGAUAAAAUCGCCGGAUGCAACGUCACUAGAGGAAAAGGUGCGUCAGUCCUAUGCCCACUAUAUUAGUCACUAUAUUUUUUUUUACAGUUUAGAUAGAUUUGCCGUUCACGCAAUUGCGGGAAAUACAGGUGGUUGGUAUGGCUGGGUGCAUACCUGUGACACGGGACAGAUGUAGGUCGCGUGCGAUGUGUCCGUUUAUAACAAUAGCUAGGCGGCGGGAAAUUGUCCGGUUAUCAGUUACCCCAUAUUUGGGCCAAGGUUUGUCGUCAUGUCGGUGAAUGCGUGGCGUCGACGUAGGUAGCGCGUGCCAUUUCGAAUUACUAAAUAAUAUACUGUAAUUCGGAAUGCAGACGACUUGUCGUUAGAACGACGCAUCAGGUACAAGAAUUGAUUGGCAGCGAAGCUCAUCCUUCAAUAAAAACCGCAUCACCUUGACCUCACUCACCACCCCCUCUCUCAGGCCGUCCUUGAAUAGUCAGAAAAAUUCAAACAAUCGCCUAUCCGGAAAAGUGACGUCAUGUCCGGACAGCUGUCGAAAGCUUAUCUCCUUUCAAAAAUUUAAUAAAAUUAUGGAAUCGUGAUGUAAUAACUUUAUUGAUUACGAAUCUGUGUAUUAAUAAGGUUUUUGGAAAUUGUUGUAAAAGCAAUAGAAAUUAUCCUCAAAAAAUUUCCAUUGAGGAUAUUAUUAACGAGUAGUGUUCAUUCGUAGAACUGUGCUGGUAAAAACCUUAAGAUGAGCGUUUCUGGGAACAAAUGAAGCGUUUUAAAUUCAAAGUAUUUUAAUAUGAUUCUCAUUCAAGGACUUUAGAAUCUCCAUAUAACUUAUGCGUAAAGUUUAUUUUUAUAUCUACAAACUAAAUCAAACACAUCAGAAUUAAUUUCUUAUUCGAUAUAAUUAAAUGACUUAUGGAUCAUUUUUAUUUGAAAUUUUUGUUAAAGAAUCCAAUUGAAAAAAUUACUCCUUUUAGAAUUGUAUAUGGCUUUUAGUUGAUGUGUAAAUUCAUGAGACCGUUCACAUGUGCCUAACGUGACGCGCUACAGUUAAUAACAUCAUCAGAAAUUGCGUGUGGCAUUCGUGACUUAUUUAGCAGUACUACUAUAGACACCGUUACGCGAAUCUGAUUAAAACAUAUUAAUAAGGAAGAUUGUAUGCCGUCUUUUGGUGAGAUUUCACUUUCGCAGAAUCGUAUUUGUGGUAGAGAGAGCAAAUUACAAAAUUGGGUUUCCCUGGAGAUAGUCUGUCUAAGCAGUUUAGGGGAGAAAUGUAAACUGUCACGAUUGGAAGGGAUCAUUGGCGCCACUAGCACUUUAAGAACAAAGAGCGUUUUUUCUCUUAGCUUACAAGGUCUGUUUAUUAAAUUUACGUUUCCCCAAAGUGAAAUUUGCUUAAAACAAUUUUCGCUCUAGGACUGCCUAUCCUCCUCCGACUGCUUUCCUAUAUCAACAGCGCAUACAAUCUGACUCAAGGACGGACUCUGUUAUCGAUCGUCUUCUUUGUACUUGUACGUGUUUAGUCAAAGUUAUAAUACUGGGAAGAGAGAGGUAUCUCCCCUUCAAAACACACGUCCCGGUUAUCAUUUUUAAGUGAUCUGGAAAAAAGAGGAGCGUCAAAUUUAUUAUCCAUCUUGUUGUCUAUCCAGUUGGGAUCAGUUAAUUUUAGGGCCAUAGGAGCUAUAACCAAUUUAUAUAGAGCGGACGAGAGCGCAGGCGCUAUUUGACCUUCGUGGAUCGUUGGCGUCACAUGAGCGAUUCCAGCCACGUGGAGAGUGACAAUUCCAAAUUUCCCUUAAACAGGUAAGUCGGAAUUGGUUUAUAAUCCGGAUGCAAGCACCAGGUGAUAAGCGUUCCCACGUUUAGAAAUACUGUAAGUAGAGCCAACAACUUAACCCACAUGACUUCAAAAGCAUAUCCACUGACCCAGUAGGGAGGAAAUGACCUAGUCGUGUUUAGUGUUGCACCCCACCAAAAUUCCAUACUCCCGAGAGAUAUUUAUCCUUAUUUCUGGAAUUGAAGACGGCGAAAAGAUGAGCGACAUUGUUCUCCAAGGACAUGACACGGCAUACAUUUAUUUCUCCAGGGAUCAUCUCAUUUACGCCUGUGGAGACCAAAGCAACCAUCUGUCCACUUAUUUUUGUAGAUUCAGGAGUGACCCCGGGACCACAUGCUUCCGAAGCAUCCAAUUAGUUAGACUCAGCAACUGGGCUGACUCUCCUCGUUACUCUGGAGCGUAACCUACAUUUAGAAGGUUGGCCUGGAUUUACAUUCUUCCUCCCCAUAACGAAGUGAGCCCAUCCGUUUUGCCACUGUACCAUUUUCUUUCUCCUCCUCCAAAACACGAGGGUCGAGCGAUCGGACACGCCGAUUACCUUUUUUAAGGUCUCUGGGACUUCAGCGGACCACCAUGCUCUCACUCCACCAGCCGUCCUUCAAUUUAUGUUUUUUUUUUUUUUAGUACAUCGCUGGGCUGGGAGGUCAGGGACGAUCGCCAUCCCUUAUAGAUAAGACUAAUACUUAUCUGAAACAGUCCACGUGUAUGCUUUUUUAUGGAGAAGCGGAGGAGAAAUAUUUGACCUCAUCACACGGAGAAGAAAGCUGGCAGAAGACAGCAGCUAUUUCCGUCUCCGUAAACAGGUUUCGACAUCAACCCCAGUUCAUUGCACACAAAGAGGUUAAUUACCUGUACACUAGUGAUGGCGAACGUAAACCCGUGUCUCUAGUCUCUAGCAGAGAGAGAGAGAAAUGCGCAACUCCCAUCCGGAUAAUUGAAAAUUAGGUCUUUUAAUUUGAAGCAAGAGUUCUUAAAACACCCAGUUUAUUCCUAGCUUAUGUCAGGUCAAGGACGCCUGCUGGUGCCAUCUAGUGUCACUUCUUUUCAUUAUUGAUUCGAUUUAAUUGCUGCUUGCCAUAUGCCCAUGUGCGUUGUUAACAAAUACUACUAUACUCUGAUAAUUUUUCGCGUCGUGUGCACGGUCAGUGUCCCACUUAGAGACCGGGGUCACCCGGAAAUCAACUAAUGCAGCGAAAGUGGUGACGUCAUAUAUUUUUCUCGUACAACUCGGAUUUUCUAUCUCCUUAGAAUAAACUGCGGUUCUAUCGAGUUCAUUGCACUCCGCAUUUGAAAAUCUUCGAUAGCUGGAGUAGGAAGUCAUUUUUCUUGCCUGAUCUAUGCCAUUGUCCUAACUUAUUUAGGCCUAACGCUAGAUAGAAUCUAAGUUGUCCAAAUUUUUCCUAUUCAUCUGGGUCGGUCGUUGAGCUUUCUCUCCGUCCCAGAGUAGGUUAGGUUAGGUUUUUUUCGAAGCGCCAUCUGGAGAUAUUUUUUCCCCUCCCCGACAGAUGGGCUUAGCGAAGGGGGAAAAAAACGUAGGUGAACGGCCUGUGGAGAGUGGAGGUCCUUUUCAUUCGUUGACUUCCCUUGAACGCUUUCUAACAACUAAAAUUAUAGUUUCCCAUUUUUUAUUUGGGUUGCCAUCUUCCGAUACAUCCUUUGACGUCAUAUUUUUUGGGGGGUGGUAGCUGCGUGACGUGUAUUCCGGUAAGCGGGACGGCAUUGUUUGCAGUCCCCGGUCUUGGGGAGCAUUGACACCGCGCUCAGAUCGUUCAACCCCAGUCACUCGGUGACAGGUCACACAGUGUCAGAACCGACUGGUGCGCGCUUUGGUCAUCGCUGGAGGUUGCUGACUCCACUCUACCUCUAAGUAUCGGACGAGUUAUGCAGUCGAAGGCGUUCGGCUUCAGAUAGGAGACCGUGUGGAUUAUUCGCAUUUAUUUCUUUCUGCGUCUUUGUUUCCUGACAAGCUGGCAACCAGUAAUCUGACAGAGAACCUUGUGUCAGGUAAGAUCCCAAAGAUUUCCAAGGUCGGGUAUCUUUUAUGUCUGGAGGUGUGAUGUAGACGACUGAUCGAUAUACUUCUAGAUAAUCUUGCUUUGUUUUGAAAUUGGAAAUUUUCGAGCUGCUCUGUUUUAGUAAUGAUCAUUUUAUUGUGAAAAAGUCAAAAUACAUUCAUGUUUUAUAUUCAUAAUAUUAUAUUUCAUACAGUAUUAUGUCUGUCAAAAAUCGGAAUUUAAUGAAAUUUAUUUAUAAAAAAGUUUCUAAGCCAUAACUUGAUGUCAAUAACCUGA
rnacentral:lncRNA from 1 species